ensembl:lncRNA
GCAAGGAUCAGUGUAUCUCCUGCACCCCUGGUAAAUACUGCAGCUCCUCUGGGCUGGACAUCCCUACGGGCAACUGUUAUUAGCCAGCUCAGCUCCUGCAAAGUCUACUCAAAUGUCCUGUUGAAUAAUAUAGGCUUGUUUUCUAAUGCUAAUCUCUCAGAUUUUGCAGUUACGUGUGCAGCCAAGGUGCCUCGCUCUCAGAGCCAAUUGGAGAUUCCACAGGAGGCAGAUGCACAGCUGGUUUCUAUUGCCCAGCGGGUGCCAGCCAUAUGGAGCCCUGUCCUCUGGGCACAUUUGGCUCAUUAGAAGGUCUUAUUCCAACAUAUGUAACACAGUCACGCUGUUAAAUAAGGAUGAAUGAAACUAACAUUGUGGGUGUUUGAAUGGGAGCAGCAUCUGUAGAGAUGUGUCAGUCGUGCACACCCGGACAAUACUGUGCAGAACCUGGGCUGAAUUCACCCUCUGGACCCUGUAGUUAUGGAUACUACUGUAUUCAAUAAUCACAUACCCCUAAGCCUCAGUAUUUUAACAGCACAGGUCAUUUUCUCCACCUACCGUGGUUUCUGACCAUGGCAAUAAGUAUAAGCAGUGUAACGGUAAUGAACUGAUUUUUUUUUUAGAUUGUGAAGAACCUGGGGCUUGUUCAAUGGAAGAGGUCCUUUCUCAGAUUCAGUUCAUUGGGGAUGUCUGUCCUGCAGCUCACUACUGCCCAGUUGGCAGUGCACAACCAGAACCCUGUCCGCCAGGCUCUUUCCUGAGCCACCGUGGUGCUGUAUCUGAGACAGACCAUCAUCCAUGUACCUCUGGAGUCAGAGCUCUGCAGAGCUUCGCUGUCCUGAGGGCAGUUUCUGUCCAGCCGGUUCUGUAACAGGACAUCAUUCCGGUAGGAUGUAAUACUGACAAGGCAGAAAUCCAUAUUGUCCUCUGGGCAUCAGUUAAACUAGGGUACUAGAUAUACAGAGCACUGAGCGGGUUUCAUAAAUAGAGAGAGACGGUGUCUACUUCCUCCUGCCAUUUAUCUUUGUGACUAACCAUGGCAUCUCUACAGGGUUGCCCUAGUGCUGUCUGAAUUAUUUAGUACUGUUGGCAUGAGAUGUCUAGACAUCAUCUGUUUAUAUACUGCCAGUCUCUUACCUUUAUGAUCUGUCUGUUCAGACUGUCAGUGUCCGUCUGGUCACUCGUGUCCGUGUGGCAGCGUCCAGCCUGCCAUCUGUCUGCCUGAUACUUAUCAGCCUCUGCCAUCCCAGCCUUCCUGUCAACCUUGCCCACCAGGUAAAUAGUAUAUUGAUACUUUGGAGUCUCUCAAAGCCUGUUAAAAAAAUGUUGGGGUCAUAAUUCACUG